UUUUGUUGAAUCCAUCCGACCGUAACACCGUUUCUUUUCUACGACUAUUAAACAUGAGUGCAAUGAGUAACAUAUCUGUCUGAAGAGUAAAUGAGCGUUUUAAACGGCGCGCGUUCGGAGCGCGCUGUCGGGUUGCGUACGUGGAACUGUGUACUUCAAGCAAUGAUGAAAGCGGGAUACUUUUUACCACAGUGCAGAGCGCUGCUAACAUGCGUGGCUGUGGUGUGGACCAUCGACCAAACAGCUGCCAACUGCGUGGAUGAUUCACUUUGCUCGUUGUCCUGCGUCGAACGGUACAUGCACGACGCGCGCUAUUUUGGUUUAGCUGGCCACUGCGAGAACGGUAGCUGUGUCUGCACCCAUCUGGAUCGCUGCGAACCCAAUCGGUGUGUGGAAGACUGCAAGAAAAAGCACCCGGACAAGUUACACUUGAAGGCAGAGUGUAAAGAUAAAGGCACCUGUAAAUGCACAUGGAAUUCCAAAUGUAAAGAGGCUUGGUGCGACGCCGAGUGUCACCGAAAGCACGCGGGGAAGCCGAAUGUGCGCUCGACGUGCGAAGGGUACACGUGCAUGUGUCGCUGGAACGCAGAUUCCGCAUCGAAUUCUGGUGUCGGUGGUGGUGUGCACGGAACUGUUCCAGGACCAGAUGCGAUUCAUGGUGUACAGAACAGCACCGAUGAACAUUCAGGUGCUGGUAAUGCGGCUAAACGGCCUUCUACUACUGCAGUGUCUUAGUUUGAAGAAUGAGGUCGCAAAGGUCACGAGCGCUUGAGAUGCCAUCGAAGGCCUGGCGACGCGCCAACUCCGGCUGAGCUUGCGGCGAUGAGCCAGUUGUAGUCACCAGGCGCCGCUGACACUGCACUCUAAGCAGCAUCACGCAUACCUUCACACUAUAGAACCGCGUUGCAGCGUUAAACAGACGACGUUCUCGUGGAGACGUUUUACUUGGCUCCACCAUAAUUUCGUACAAUUUCCAUGUGACUAUCCCAGAAAUGGCGGGUAUUUCAUAUGGAUUUUGCCUCAUUACGGUAUCAUUAAGACAAAACAAAAACAUACAAAGUAACAGAACAACAGACAGAAAGCUUCAACAAGGAUUCAGGCCCUGCAGGCCUUUUUGAUUGUGUCUCAAUAAAACUGCUCGUCACUCCAAUUUA